GGGCAUGCCAGGCUUUGAUGGAGAAUAAAUUUAAAGUUUUCAGAUUGAGGAUGUCUCGUUGCCCUCAUUAAAAACGCGAGACAACAGAUAAAUGCUAAAACAUUAUCUCGGGUCAGAGAAAAGUUGGCCGCGUUUUUCGCGCCAGCCUUCUCCCCUGCUUUGGCUUUGGCUUAAAAGUUUUUUAAGCGAAAGUCCGUCUUUGCUUUCCACUCCUGACUAAAAAGCAAGGGCGUCAUAAAUACAGGAUAGAUUAUUCUUGCUUGCCGCGAGAAUGAUUGAAAAUUAUGGCAAUAGAUGAUCCGUUUUUUGUUUAUUUUAGAAGCGGAUCAUUGAAUAAAUAAAAUAAACUAAAUCUGUGAAGUAAAACUUUAAAAUCUAUCUUCCAGACAUGGGUUCAACUCCCAUCA
rnacentral:tmRNA from 1 species